rnacentral:rRNA from 1 species
GCACAUUUUAGAGCCUUGUUCAGAUUAUUUAUAUACAUAAACUUACUUUUAAGUCCUCCUUCAAGUUUUUUACAAUAUACAUAUCCGUAUUAUAAUUUUUAAUUGUAACCCAUCUUCUCCUUUUUAUAAACUGCACCUUGAUUUGACAUCCUAAUAAAAUAGAUUUUUUAGCUAACUUCUUUUUUCUCUUAAAGUUACCUGAUGACAACGGUAUACAAAUUGAUUACUAAAAAAGGUAAGGUCUAACGUGGAUUGUCGAUUAUGAGACAGGUUCCCCUAAGUGGUCUAAAAUACCGCCAAGUUCUUUGAGUUUUAAAUUAUUUUAUUUGUAGUACUCUGGUAAAUUUCUUUAUUUAAUUCUAAAAAUAAUGGGGUAUCCAAUCCCAGUUUCCCUUAAAGAUUUCACAGAUUCAACAAAAUAGUUACUGUAAUAUUAUUACAUCUAUAUUAAAUUUUACUUAUAUAUAGAAAAUCAAUAAACUCUUAUUUGUCUAACUGUCUUUUUACCAAAUUAUAUAACUUAACUUAUUGGUU